GACGAACGCUGGCGGCGUGCUUAACACAUGCAAGUCGAACGCUGAUGGCCCAGCUUGCUGGGUUGGAUGAGUGGCGAACGGGUGAGUAACACGUGAGUAACCUGCCCUCUUCUUUGGGAUAACGGUCGGAAACGGCUGCUAAUACCGGGUAUUCACUGUCCUUCGCAUGGGGGGUGGUGGAAAGGUUUUUUCUGGUGGGGGAUGGGCUCGCGGCCUAUCAGCUUGUUGGUGGGGUGAUGGCUUACCAAGGCUUUGACGGGUAACCGGCCUGAGAGGGUGACCGGUCACAUUGGGACUGAGAUACGGCCCAGACUCCUACGGGAGGCAGCAGUGGGGAAUAUUGCACAAUGGGCGAAAGCCUGAUGCAGCGACGCCGCGUGAGGGAUGGAGGCCUUCGGGUUGUAAACCUCUUUCGCUCAUGGUCAAGCCGCAACAGUGGUUGUGGUGAGGGUAGUGGGUAAAGAAGCACCGGCUAACUUCGUGGCGCAGCCGCGGUAAUACGUUGGGCGCGGGCGUUUCCGGAUUUUUUGGGCUUAAAAGGCUUG
rnacentral:rRNA from 1 species